rnacentral:rRNA from 1 species
GACGAACGCUGGCGGCGUGCUUAACACAUGCAAGUCGAACGGAAAGGCCCUGCUUUUGUGGGGUGCUCGAGUGGCGAACGGGUGAGUAACACGUGAGUAACCUGCCCUUGACUUUGGGAUAACUUCAGGAAACUGGGGCUAAUACCGGAUAGGAGCUCAUGCUGCAUGGUGGGGGUUGGAAAGUUUCGGCGGUUGGGGAUGGACUCGCGGCUUAUCAGCUUGUUGGUGGGGUAGUGGCUUACCAAGGCUUUGACGGUUAGCCGGCCUGGGGGGGUGACCGGCAAAAUUGGGACUGAGAUACGGCCCAGACUCCUACGGGAGGAAGCAGUGGGGAAUAUUGCACAAUGGGCGGAGGCCUGAUGCAGCAACGCCGCGUGCGGGAUGACGGCCUUCGGGUGGUAAACCGCUUUCGCCUGUGACGAAGCGUGAGUGACGGUAAUGGGUAAAGAAGCACCGGCUAACUACGUG